rnacentral:rRNA from 1 species
AUAAAGUCUAGCCUGCCCACUGAAUUUUGUUUGAAGGGCCGCAGUAUUUUGACUGUGCAAAGGUAGCAUAAUCAUUAGUCUUUUAAUUGAAGGCUGGUAUGAAUGGUUGGACGAGAUACAAUCUGUGUCAUAAUAAUUAAAAUUUGAAUUUAUCUUUUUAGUUAAAAGACUAAAAUAAAAUUAAAAGACGAGAAGACCCUAUAGAGCUUUAUAUAAUUAAUAUUUAAAUUAUUAAGAUUUUUUAAAUUAAAAUAUUAUUUUAUAUUUUGUUGGGGUGACAAUAAAAUUAAUAGAACUUUUAUUUUUAUUAAACAUUAAUUUAUGGUUAAAUGAUCCAGUUUUAUUGAUUAUAAAUUUAAGUUACCUUAGGGAUAACAGCGUAAUUUUUUUUGAGAGUUCUUAUCGACAAAAAAGAUUGCGACCUCGAUGUUGGAUUAAGAGUAAUUUUGGGUGUAGAAGUUCAAAGUUUAAGUC